AUAUUCUUGUUGCAGCUAUGGAUUAAUGGGUUUACUUUUGCCAAGAACACUAAUUAAUUAUUUUUUGGUCUGUAAUAUAUGGCCUGCAUGAUGUUCAUUGUUUAUUCAUGUUUAUUGGCCGGCAUGGUGGUUCACACCUAUAAUCUCAGCACUUCGGGAGGCUGAGGCGGGAGGAUCCCUUAAGCCCAUGGUUCGAGACCAGCCUGAACAACAUAGUGAGACUCUGUUUUUACAAAAUAUUUUUUAAAAUUACCCGGGUAUAGUGGCAUGUGCCUGUAGUCCCAGCUAACUCAGGAGGCUGAGGUGGGAAGAUUGUUUGAGCCUGGGAGGUCGAGGCUGCAGUGAACCAUGAUUGUAUACUUGCUCUGUUGCCCAGGCCACUGUAUACCAGCCUGGGCAACAGAGCAAGACCUUGUCUUAAAAACAAAACAAAACAAAACAAAAGGUUUAUGGAGAUAGGACCAAUAUCCAGAAUCUAGUUCAAGAAGCCAGAAUAGGCUACAGUGGAGUUGGAGAAUGGGAGAUAAGAGAGCAGGGAUCAAAAGAAGACAUGAAAAGAAUCACCAGGAAAAAGAUAAUGGAGGAGAACUUAGAAAAAGUGAAAUAAGACAAGUAACAUUCAACAUACAGUACUUAGGGCUAUAGAGGAAUUAUAGGUGUGGGGAAGAGAAAGGAAGUAAGCGGGAAAAAUAACAUGUUUUGGCAGCUUCAAAUUUAAGUGGGUUGAUUACAGAGAUAUUUUUAAAACAUUGUUAGCCACUUUGGUAGGUAUUGCCAUUUUUUUCAGAUAUUGAUAAGUAAAAUACUAUUUUUAUAUUUUAAUAGCUAAACAUGCUUUUGCCAUUGAAGAAUAUAGCUUUUCUCAAGCAACAUUGGAACAGGUUUUUGUAGAACUCACUAAAGAACAAGAGGAGGAAGAUAAUAGUUGUGGAACUUUAAACAGCACACUUUGGUGGGAACGAACACAAGAAGAUAGAGUAGUAUUUUGAAUUUGUAUUGUUCGGUCUGCUUACUGGGACUUCUUUCUUUUUCACUUAAUUUUAACUUUGGUUUAAAAAGUUUUUUAUUGGAAUGGUAACUGGAGAACCAAGAACGCACUUGAAAUUUUUCUAAGCUCCUUAAUUGAAAUGCUGUGGUUGUGUGUUUUGCU
rnacentral:sRNA from 1 species